rnacentral:snRNA from 1 species
GUUUUCACUUUGGCACCACAUAUACUAAAAGUGAAAUGACAGAGAUUAGCAUUGUCUUUUAGCAAGCAUAACAUGUAAAUUUGUGAAGUAUUCCAUAUGUUU